GUGACAUUAUUGUCAACAAACCCACGUGGAGCACAAAUGAUUUACAAUGGUUGACUGGAAGUGACAGGCCUUCUCUUCAAAAUAAAAAAGGAUGGGCCAAAACUGUAAAAUCUGGACAGAAAUUAAGACGCAAGCAUAAGAACUACAUUGUGUUUUGUAUACAUGUGUCCCUGCUACGGAGGCAGCUAACAGAAAGGGGAUAUAAUUAAGAUUGCAUUGUGGAUUUGCCCUGUGCCACCUCUAAAUGGCAGAAGAAAACUCAACUCAGCACAACCAGAAACACUUUUCUGAAGAAAAUUCUGCCAAGAGACAGUUGUGAAUGGAAUCGUGUAGAUAAUCUCUAGAAAAGAAAUCACCAUUGAUAUUGGGAUGUAUGUUAGAACAAUCAUCAAAGACAAAUUUACCACAGGAAUAAAAAUAAAACUGUCUGGCAUUCAAGGGCCUGCCAUGGUAGAAGCUCUCCUGAAAAAAAUAUUCCAUUUAUUGUGGACAUCAUGACA